AGUUCUCCAGUUUGCACCCAGAGCAAUAAGACGCGGACAUUAUCAGCGGUGAGGUCUUCUAUGCCUGAGAUUGAUAGAUGUCUUACUGAGAGAAAUAGAGACAAUAAAAACAGAACUUUUGAUGAUUGCAGUUCUUAUAAAUCUUCAUCUUUACACCUGUGAAUCCUUGUACUGUGUCUCAGGAUGAUGGAGCAUUAGUCUCCAGAAAGCUUUCAAAAGUUUCUACUAGCCAUGAUGUAGAUUCUGGUGCUACUGCUACUACUAAGGGAAGUUCAUGCCCAAGUUCUCCAGUUUGCAGCCAGAUUACUAAGGGAAGUUCAGGUCCGAGUUCUCCAGUUUGCACCCAGAGCAAUAAGACGCGGACAUUAUCAGCGGUGAGGUCUUCUAUGCCUGAGAUUGAUAGAUGUCUUACUGAGAGAAAUAGAGACAAUAAAAACAGAACUUUUGAUGAUUGCAGUUCUUAUAAAUCUUCAUCUUCUACUUGCGCUCGUUCGUUGCAUCUGCCAGCAGCCAACACAACAGAACAUUUGAUGAUUGCAGUUCUUAUAAAUCUGCAUCUUCUACUUGCUCUCGUUCAUUGCAUCUGCCAGCAGCCAACAAUGAGAAUUCCUCCUCUUGGCUAUCUCUAAAACCAACUG
rnacentral:lncRNA from 1 species